rnacentral:rRNA from 1 species
GAUGAACGCUGGCGGCGUGCCUAAUACAUGCAAGUCGAGCGAACGGACGAGAAGCUUGCUUCUCUGAUGUUAGCGGCGGACGGGUGAGUCACACGUGUAUAACCUACCUAUAAUACUGGGAUAACUUCGGGAAACCGGCGCUAAUCCCGGAUAAUCUUUUGAUCCGCAUGGUUCAAAAGUGAAAGACGGUCUUGCUGUCACUUAUCGAUGCAUCCGCGCUGCAUUAGCUAGUUGGUAAGUUAACGGCUUACCAAGGCAACGAUGCAUAGCCGACCUGAGAGGGUGAUAGGCCACACUGGAACUGAGACAGGGUCAAGACUCCUAAGGGAGGCAGCAGUAGGGAAUCUUACGCAGUGGGCGAAAGCAUGACGGAGCAACGCGGAGUGAGUGAUGAAGGUGUUCGGAUCGUAAAAAUCUGUUAUUAGGGAAGAACAUAUGUGGAAGGAACUGUGCACAGCUUGACGGUAACUAAUCAGAAAGCAACGGCUAACUACGUG